rnacentral:sRNA from 1 species
AAAUAUAAAUUAUUUAAAAGAAACUCGCGAUAAUUUAUUACAAUAUAGCCUUCGCCAGCAACUGAGAGUCUCACCCAAAAGUAAUAAUGCAUCGUAAUCAAUUUGUUGAAAUUUGUUAAUCAUUGAACGCAACACUAAAAAUGAAAACAUGUAAAAUAUUUCGUUAGAGUUUGAACGCGCAUGAAUCAAAUAUCAAAGACUUUGUACAUGUCACCUGUCCAGAAUCCUGCCGUUUAAGCCAAGUACAUUAUACGGCGGCAAACAACGAUAAACCACAAUAUACGAUUUACGUUACCGAGUUCACAUCUUUUGCUGCGUCCAAGAGAUCACUAAGAGCAUCCGCUGAGGACAUGCGGGCAGCUGCACAACAAACCUUCGGAGGAAAUACACCUGCUCAAACCAACGAUCGAGCGGGGAUAGUGAACAACGCCCAGCCCUUCUCCUUCACCGGAGCCGUGGGCACGGACAGCAAUGUGUGAUGCGGAAGGAAGGUGAUCAGGAUAUCGGGGAAUCGGAGAGCUGGGUGUGCCGUGAGAAAACAAGACUCAAAACGCAACAUUUGAAGGGCAAACCUAACCAAGAGAACAUCGGCAGGCAAUUUACAUAAUCAUGUGCAAUUUCUAAUUGUUCAAAUACCAACGCAAAUGGAUAACUAAAGUUUUUUAAUCCGAUUAGCUCUGAUCUCUUUCUAGAGCAAUCCAAAUAACACGAUCAGAAGUCCCCUAAAAAAAUCAUUAAAUUAAAAACCAUUUUUGUAUUAAAUGUAUGUAAAUGUAUAUUGGUUUUAUAAGCGUUUUGCGUUUUCUGUAUCCUAUUAAUUGUGUUGCCUGUGUCCCAUCAUUCCAAAAUAUUUGGUUUCAACUAAGUAGAAAUUGCAAAUAAAUUAUUGAACGACAUCACUAGCGAGGUGAAAAAAU